UACGGAGGGUGCAAGCGUUAUCCGGAUUCACUGGGUUUAAAGGGUGCGUAGGCGGCCCUGUAAGUCAGUGGUGAAAUACUCCAGCUUAACUGGAGGGGUGCCAUUGAUACUGCAGGGCUUGAGUGGAGUCGAAGUAGGCGGAAUUGACGGUGUAGCGGUGAAAUGCUUAGAUAUCGUCAAGAACACCGAUAGUGAAGACAGUUUACUAGGCUUCUACUGACGCUGAGGCACGAAAGUGUGGGGAUCAAACAGG
rnacentral:rRNA from 1 species